AGGAAGUUCAAUAUCAAUGGAUCACAAAUGGAAAACUGGACUCUUCUCAACCACACUCGCCAAACAAGGAAGUUCAAAAUCAAUGGAUCACAAAUGGAAAACAGGAAAACUGGACCCUUCUCAACCACACUCGCCAAACAAGGAAGUUCAAUAUCUCUUAGAGUCCGCAUGUACGGGGCCUAAGGUGGUAUUGUUCUGUCCAUCAAAAGGAUUUCCACAACCCAUCAACAAUCCCCAUCAACAACAACUACAAUGAAGGUACGUAGGCUACAUUUCCAGUGAUGCAGAUAGGAUAGGGACAGCAGCUCCUAAAUUGAGGUAAAUAAUAUGUUAAAAGUAUAGAGUCGCACGACAAAUCAUUGCUGUUGUUAAUUUGAUCAACUGUACACAUACUGUAUAUUGUUUUGGUCAUAAUUCCUUUUCCCCCCAUAGACUUCAUGUUGCUGUUACAUCGUGAUUUUAUGCUGUAGGGGAACAUCAAAGAGACACCAACAGCAGAAGGAGAAACACAACAUAUCACAAAGCAAAUUUAAGUACACUUUUUCUUUGAAAUAAGAUUUGUUUCCAGUAGUUUUGUAAUUUACUAAAGAUAUAUUGUUCAUCUGUACUCAGAAAACACUGAAUUAAUGCUAUUGUGUUUUUCUUUCCCUUUCCCUUUCCCUUUCCAAAAAAAACAACAAAAAAAACAAAAAAAAAACCCUCUUUUCUCUUCUUCUUUUCAUUCAACAUAUUGCACUCCUGUAGCGAUGACAGUUAGCUCUUAAAGUUAUGUACUUACUUGAUUCCUGUGUUCUAUGUCUAGUACCAUCAGGUUGAAUGCACUUGUCGCUUCAUCUAAUUAAUGAUUUUUUCUCCUUUUUUCUUUUCCUAUUUGUUUUUUUUGUUUUGUGAUUUUGCCAUAAAUGUGACACCUGAUGAACACCAUGCAAAGAAGGUUACAUCAUGAUUUUGUGCUGAAGGGGAAUAUCAAAGAGACACCAACAGCAUAAGGAGAAACACAACAUAAACAACAAAAUAAAUUUAAGUACUCUUUUCCUUUGAAAUAAAAUUAGUAUCCAGUAGUUUUGUAAUUUACUAAAGAUAUAUUGUUCAUCUGUACUCAGAAAACACUGAAUUAAUGCUAUUGUGUUUUUCUUUCCCUUUCCCUUUCCCUUUCCAAAAAAAACAACAAAAAAAACAAAAAAAAAACCCUCUUUUCUCUUCUUCUUUUCAUUCAACAUAUUGCACUCCUGUAGCGAUGACAGUUAGCUCUUAAAGUUAUGUACUUACUUGAUUCCUGUGUUCUAUGUCUAGUACCAUCAGGUUGAAUGCACUUGUCGCUUCAUCUAAUUAAUGAUUUUUUCUCCUUUUUUCUUUUCCUAUUUGUUUUUUUUGUUUUGUGAUUUUGCCACAAAUGUGACACCUGAUGAACACCAUGCAAAGAAGGUUACAUCAUGAUUUUGUGCUGAAGGGGAACAUCAAAGAGACACCAACAGCAUAAGGAGAAACACAACAUAAACAACAAAAUAAAUUUAAGUACUCUUUUCCUUUGAAAUAAAAUUAGUAUCCAGUAGUUUUGUAAUUUACUAAAGAUAUAUUGUUCAUCUGUACUCAGAAAACACUGAAUUAAUGCUAUUGUGUUUUUCUUUCCCUUUCCCUUUCCCUUUCCAAAAAAAACAACAAAAAAAACAAAAAAAAACCCCUCUUUUCUCUUCUUCUUUUCAUUCAACAUAUUGCACUCCUGUAGCGAUGACAGUUAGCUCUUAAAGUUAUGUACUUACUUGAUUCCUGUGUUCUAUGUCUAGUACCAUCAGGUUGAAUGCACUUGUCGCUUCAUCUAAUUAAUGAUUUUUUCUCCUUUUUUCUUUUCCUAUUUGUUUUUUUUGUUUUGUGAUUUUGCCAUAAAUGUGACACCUGAUGAACACCAUGCAAAGAAGGUUACAUCAUGAUUUUGUGCUGAAGGGGAAUAUCAAAGAGACACCAACAGCAUAAGGAGAAACACAACAUAAACAACAAAAUAAAUUUAAGUACUCUUUUCCUUUGAAAUAAAAUUAGUAUCCAGUAGUUUUGUAAUUUACUAAAGAUAUAUUGUUCAUCUGUACUCAGAAAACACUGAAUUAAUGCUAUUGUGUUUUUCUUUCCCUUUCCCUUUCCCUUUCCAAAAAAAACAACAAAAAAAACAAAAAAAAAACCCUCUUUUCUCUUCUUCUUUUCAUUCAACAUAUUGCACUCCUGUAGCGAUGACAGUUAGCUCUUAAAGUUAUGUACUUACUUGAUUCCUGUGUUCUAUGUCUAGUACCAUCAGGUUGAAUGCACUUGUCGCUUCAUCUAAUUAAUGAUUUUUUCUCCUUUUUUCUUUUCCUAUUUGUUUUUUUUGUUUUGUGAUUUUGCCAUAAAUGUGACACCUGAUGAACACCAUGCAAAGAAGGUUACAUCAUGAUUUUGUGCUGAAGGGGAACAUCAAAGAGACACCAACAGCAUAAGGAGAAACACAACAUAAACAACAAAAUAAAUUUAAGUACUCUUUUCCUUUGAAAUAAAAUUAGUAUCCAGUAGUUUUGUAAUUUACUAAAGAUAUAUUGUUUAUCUGUACUAAGAAAACAAUGUGUUAAUAUUGUUUCUUUAUUUUUUCCUGGCCUGAAGGGUAACUACAAGACGGAAUCAACAACAUUAAGCUAAGUGCUUUUCUUACUGCUCAUGACAUUCUUAUAUUUCAUGAUUUCUUACAAAUAUUUUUUAUCUGUAAACCGAAACCUUACAUUUUUGAUGUUUAGUUUGCUCUAUGAUUGUUUUAUCAUCUAAUUAAUGAUUUUCUCUCUUAAUGAUGUUCACUCUUCUCUUUGUGUUGUUUUGUGAUUGUGCAUGAAUCUGACACCUGAUGAACACCAUGCAAAGAAGGAUGGCAGCAACCCCAAAGGCAAAAGUAGGAUCAUCAGUGAGGACAACAGCAAAGAUGGCAGCCGUUCAACCUGUGAAGAAUCAGCAUUCCAACACGAGGCUUGAGAAUUGGUCGCGGCAGAUGGCCAUUCACCAUGAUCCGGGUUCUGCUCAAGGUUUCUGCCACGGGCAGUUUUUCCUUGCCACCGUCGCCAAGUGCUUGGUCAUGCUGGAAAUUGUAGUGGAGAUUGUUCAAACUAUCAUCACAGAACUAUACAAUUACAACUACGAUUAAACACUUUGUUACAAUCUUCUAAA